GAGUGGCGAACGGGUGAGUAACACGUGGGUAACCUGCCCAUCAGAAGGGGAUAACACUUGGAAACAGGUGCUAAUACCGUAUAACACUAUUUUCCGCAUGGAAGAAAGUUGAAAGGCGCUUUUGCGUCACUGAUGGAUGGACCCGCGGUGCAUUAGCUAGUUGGUGAGGUAACGGCUCACCAAGGCCACGAUGCAUAGCCGACCUGAGAGGGUGAUCGGCCACACUGGGACUGAGACACGGCCCAGACUCCUACGGGAGGCAGCAGUAGGGAAUCUUCGGCAAUGGACGAAAGUCUGACCGAGCAACGCCGCGUGAGUGAAGAAGGUUUUCGGAUCGUAAAACUCUGUUGUUAGAGAAGAACAAGGAUGAGAGUAAAAUGUUCAUCCCUUGACGGUAUCUAACCAGAAAGCCACGGCUAACUACGUGCCAGCAGCCGCGGUAAUACGUAGGUGGCAAGCGUUGUCCGGAUUUAUUGGGCGUAAAGCGAGCGCAGGCGGUUUCUUAAGUCUGAUGUGAAAGCCCCCGGCUCAACCGGGGAGGGUCAUUGGAAACUGGGAGACUUGAGUGCAGAAGAGGAGAGUGGAAUUCCAUGUGUAGCGGUGAAAUGCGUAGAUAUAUGGAGGAACACCAGUGGCGAAGGCGGCUCUCUGGUCUGUAACUGACGCUGAGGCUCGAAAGCGUGGGGAGCGAACAGGAUUAGAUACCCUGGUAGUCCACGCCGUAAACGAUGAGUGCUAAGUGUUGGAGGGUUUCCGCCCUUCAGU
rnacentral:rRNA from 1 species